UACGUAGGCAGCGAGCGUUGUUCGGAGUUACUGGGCGUAAAGAGUGCGUAGGCGGUUUUCUAAGUUUGGUGUGAAAUCUCCCGGCUCAACUGGGAGGGUGCGCCGAAGACUGGAAGGCUUGAGUAUGGGAGAGGUAAGCGGAAUUCCUGGUGUAGCGGUGAAAUGCGUAGAUAUCAGGAGGAACACCUGCGGUGUAGACGGCUUACUGGACCAUAACUGACGCUGAGGAGCGAAAGCAUGGGGAGCGAACAGG
rnacentral:rRNA from 1 species